AGAGAGUGAUGGGGGGUCUAGAAGGGCACACAUCAGGAUUGGCUUCUUAGGAACCUGUGGGGAGAGGCCAAGGAAGCCUAGGCUUCUCCCCACAGCACUAGGACGAAGGAGCAGAGAAACAGGCAUGUGGGUGGCCUUUGUUGUUUGUCCCUGAGCUCAGAUGGUGGUUUCUUCCAGUCAUGUGCACUGGGAAUACAAAUGAGCUCCUUUGAACAAAGCUGAUCCUGUUUCCUCAGACUGAAAGCCUCUGUGUCCUCAUCUGAAUGGAUCUCAGCUGAACUGCUGCUCAAAACCUGAAAGCUUAACCAGCUCUAGUUCCUGGUCCUCACACCUUAUAUACCUUUCUGCUUCCUGCCAUCACUUCCUGGGAUUAAAGGCGUGUGUCACCAUGCCUGGCUGUUUCCAAUGUGGCUUUGAAUUCACGGAGAUUCAGAUGGAUCUCUGCCUCCAGAAUACUAGGAUUAAAGGUGUGUGUUCCACCA